AAGAGGUUCCUGAAAACUCCUAACUGAAUUCUAACUCCAGAGCCAAAAGUUUGAAACUGACUUAUAUUCUUUUGCCAUUCAUGAUUAUUUUGAACUUUCACUAGGUCCUAUUUUCCAUGAGGGUCCUGAAAAAUUUACGGUCAAACCUGUUUGGUGCUUGCCUUUCCCUUACGGAGGGUUUCCUCGAGACAACCGAAACU
rnacentral:lncRNA from 1 species